AAAUAAACUAAAUCUAGCCAAAAUAGGAAGUAGAAGUGUGUUUGGACUGCUUGUUUAUGCACCUCGUCAGGGGGGGUGUUAAGAGAGGCAUUGAGUACAAUACCAUAUCAGGUAUAACGGUGAAAAUCUAUCAAGUAUGACUCGUCAAUGUUGAUAUAUCAAGUAUAGUCAUGAAAAUCUUGACCAAUCCUCCGUAUGCCACUUGGAGCUACUAAAUUCAUAACAUUUCAAACACCA
rnacentral:misc_RNA from 1 species